CUAUCAGUCAUCAUCUGUCGUCACUUUCAUCUCUGUCUACGCGAAGCAGUCCCGACUCACCAGAAACCAAACUUUGAGAGAAGACUAAAGAGAGAAAGAGAGAUGAGGUUGUUUGAUCCGUGGCCAGUGUUCUUCAAGAGGGAAUGGAAACGUUGUUGGCCGUUUCUCACUGGAUUCGCCGUCACCGGCGUCCUCAUCACCAAGCUCACGGCUGGAUUCACUGAGGAAGACGCCAAGAACUCCAAGUUUGUCCAACAACACAGGCGGUGAUCUACUGUCGCGAAUUGUUAGAGGCUGAGGAGGCCAAGUGUUCUGAUGGAAACUACUGUGAGUGCCUCGGCUUUCAAACCUGUUCGAAUAACAUGAAAAGAGAGAAUUGUAGACACUGUCAAUUUCUCGUUUCCUUUUCUCUUCUGUUUUCACAACUCUUGAACAGUGCAAAUUCUACUUUGUUGAUCCGAUUAUUUCCUAUAUGUUUGAUAUGGAUCUCAUCUUCUCAUUUUGUUCCCCCAAUAAGAGUAUAUAUGGUUAAGUAAACCUCCAGUUGAAUGAUCGAA